rnacentral:rRNA from 1 species
UACAGAGGGUGCGAGCGUUAAUCGGAAUUACUGGGCGUAAAGCGCGCGUAGGCGGCUUUGCAAGUCGGAUGUGAAAUCCCCAGGCUUAACCUGGGAACUGCAUCCGAUACUGGAUGGCUUGAAUCCGGGAGAGGGAUGCAGAAUUCCAGGUGUAGCGGUGAAAUGCGUAGAUAUCUGGAGGAAUACCGGUGGCGAAGGCGGCAUCCUGGACGAGUGACUGACGCUGAGACGCGAAAGCGUGGGGAGCAAACAGG